rnacentral:rRNA from 1 species
GAUGAACGCUGGCGGCGUGCCUAAUACAUGCAAGUCGAGCGAACAGACGAGGAGCUUGCUCCUCUGACGUUAGCGGCGGACGGGUGAGUAACACGUGGAUAACCUACCUAUAAGACUGGGAUAACUUCGGGAAACCGGAGCUAAUACCGGAUAAUAUAUUGAACCGCAUGGUUCAAUAGUGAAAGACGGUUUUGCUGUCACUUAUAGGUGGAUCCGCGCCGCAUUAGCUAGUUGGUAAGGUAACGGCUUACCAAGGCAACGAUGCGUAGCCGACCUGAGAGGGUGAUCGGCCACACGGGAACUGAGACACGGUCCAGACGCCUACGGGAGGCAGCAGUAGGGAAUCUUCCGCAAUGGGCGAAAGCCUGACGGAGCAACGCCGCGUGAGUGAUGAAGGUCUUCGGAUCGUAAAACUCUGUUAUUAGGGAAGAACAAAUGUGUAAGUAACUAUGCACGUCUUGACGGUACCUAAUCAGAAAGCCACGGCUAACUACGUG